rnacentral:rRNA from 1 species
AUUGAACGCUGGCGGCAUGCUUUACACAUGCAAGUCGAACGGUAACAGGUUAAGCUGACGAGUGGCGAACGGGUGAGUAAUGCAUCGGAACGUGCCCGAUCGUGGGGGAUAACACUUCGAAAGAAGUGCUAAUACCGCAUACGAUCUGAGGAUGAAAGCGGGGGACCAUAAGGCCUCGCGCGAUCGGAGCGGCCGAUGUCAGAUUAGGUAGUUGGUGGGGUAAAGGCUCACCAAGCCGACGAUCUGUAGCUGGUCUGAGAGGACGACCAGCCACACUGGGAAUGAGACACGGCCCAGACUCCUACGGGAGGCAGCAGUGGGGAAUUUUGGACAAUGGGCGCAAGCCUGAUUCAGCAAUGCCGCGUGCAGGAAGAAGGCCUUCGGGUUGUAAACUGCUUUUGUACGGAGCGAAAAGGCUCCCUCUAAUACAGGGGGCUUAUGACGGUACCGUAAGAAUAAGCACCGGCUAACUACGUGCCAGCCGCCGCGGUAAGAC